GACAGAGGGUGCAAACGUUGUUCGGAAUUACUGGGCGUAAAGCGCGUGUAGGCUGCUUCGCAAGUCAGGCGUGAAAGCCCCGGGCUCAACCUGGGAACCGCGCUUGAGACUGGCAUGCUCGAGUUCGGGAGAGGAUGGUGGAAUUCCCAGUGUAGAGGUGAAAUUCGUAGAUAUUGGGAAGAACACCGAUGGCGAAGGCAGCCAUCUGGACCGACACUGACGCUGAGGCGCGAAAGCGUGGGGAGCAAACAGG
rnacentral:rRNA from 1 species